UACGUAGGGGGGCAAGCGUUGUCCGGAAUCAUUGGGCGUAAAGAGCGUGUAGGCGGUCCGGUAAGUCGGCUGUGAAAGUCCAGGGCUCAACCCUGGGAUGCCGGUCGAUACUGCCGGACUAGAGUUCGGAAGAGGCGAGUGGAAUUCCCGGUGUAGCGGUGAAAUGCGCAGAUAUCGGGAGGAACACCUAUGGCGAAGGCAGCUCGCUGGGACGUUACUGACGCUGAGAUGCGAAAGCGUGGGGAGCAAACAGG
rnacentral:rRNA from 1 species